CCCGUCCGCCCCGUGGACGCCCUGACCAUACGGCCCCCGACCCGGCUACCCUGACGGCGUGCGCACUCCUCGGGAAGCCGUACCGCACGCAUCCUGAGGUCACGCAAAGCCGACAGCCGUCGCAUCCGAGGGAGCCCUUCCAUG
rnacentral:sRNA from 1 species